UAGCCUAGUGGUUAAGGCUAUGGAUCGCCAAUCCGGAGAAGGCGGGCUCGAUUCCCGU
rnacentral:tRNA from 1 species